rnacentral:rRNA from 1 species
AAAUUGAAGAGUUUGAUCAUGGCUCAGAUUGAACGCUGGCGGCAGGCCUAACACAUGCAAGUCGAACGGUAACAGGAAGCAGCUUGCUGCUUUGCUGACGAGUGGCGGACGGGUGAGUAAUGUCUGGGAAACUGCCUGAUGGAGGGGGAUAACUACUGGAAACGGUAGCUAAUACCGCAUAACGUCGCAAGACCAAAGAGGGGGACCUUCGGGCCUCUUGCCAUCGGAUGUGCCCAGAUGGGAUUAGCUAGUAGGUGGGGUAACGGCUCACCUAGGCGACGAUCCCUAGCUGGUCUGAGAGGAUGACCAGCCACACUGGAACUGAGA